UCACCCACUUUAACCCAACAACAAAGGUAAUCAAACUAGUUUCAACUUCGAUUCAUGGGAAUUGUAAACAACUUAUAAGGAAUCAAGUACCAUUCCUACCCCAGUUCUAGAUAGUUUAGCAAAUAACUUCAAUGAUGUUAACGAGCGAAUUUGUACCUAACGAAUUAAGACAUAAUCACACAAAUAACACAAGUGUUUGAGUGGUUCACCCAUAAUGGGGCUACAUCCACUAUAGCUUAUAACUUUGUAUUUAUAUUUGAAUAUGGAGAUUACAUUGUACAUGAGAGAGAUAUGGGGAGAGAGGCUUGAGAGUUCUAGUAGAAGAGAAAAUAGAAAGCUUGGGAGAGCCUUUGGACAGCUCUUGGAGAACUGAAGAAGUAACGGCUGAUCCCCUGGCUAGAAGGUGGUGAGCUCCCUUUUAUAGUCCAAGUUGUAUUAGACAAGGUUGAUUGAUGGCUGGGACACUUGCAUGAACACCCCCUUCAUUUGGGGUCUUGGGCCUUGAGAAGGCAUAUGAGGGGGCAUGGCUAGCUACUCUUUGUUUGGUGGAAUGUGACAUAGGACAAGCAAUGGGCUAUCCCUUAAUUGGUGGGAUUUGCUGAAGAAGGAAGGUUGCACUUCGAGUGCAUGACGAGCUGAGAGAGCUAAGGAGGAAAACGACCCGUCGUCUAACUACUACUUGCCCCUAUACCAACACUCCCUUUCACUUCUAUAAGACCGAGUUCUUCCAGAUCCUUCUGUUAAAGUGUGAAACUUUUUCCUUAAAAAAAAAUUGCGAAAGUUUUGAUUGUUUGCUUUUACUUGUGGCUAAUUUCAACCGGUUCUUCAUGCAGAGGCGCCUGCUCAACUGAUACGGAUUUUUUUUCCUCUCAAUUAUUAUUAUUUUGUUUUGUUUUGGGUUUCUAAGUUUACUAAAUUUAAACUAAAUGGUUAAGCAGUGAUGUGACCUUGGAGGUAUAGUUGUGUAUUGAAUUGGUUGAAUAUUGUAAUAACUUGACCAUUACUGCUUAGCCAUUACAAUAUUGUAAUAACUUAGUUUAAAUUUUUUUUAAAUGGAGAGGUAUAGUUGAAUAUUGUAAUAACUUGACCAUUACUGCUUAAGAUAUAUGAGUGACUUAAUACAACAUAGAGUUCUUAUGAGAUUCAAUUGUUUUAGUCUUCAUUAUCUCUAUGUGUUGAAUAAGUAUAUUGUGAAGAAUAGUCAUCAAAUGAUAAAUCGCCAAAAUAAUUUGCAUGUAGUUAACAUGCCACCCAUAUAGAUCCGAGAUUGGUUAACGUUGUCCAUAUAGCGAUAUUUUCUAUAUUUUUAAUAUUUAUCACGAUAUAUUGACCAAAUAUUGUCGAAGUAUGUGAAAAAUCAUCAACGUCGAUAUUUUCCAAUAUUAUCCUCAAUAUUACCGAUAAUUAUACGACGUGUAUAAAUAUGUUCCAAAAUAUCCUAGCUAGGCCCUAAAAAAAAGGAUAAUAUACUCAAUAUUUCGUCGAUAUUAUGAUAUUAUCGAUAUAUUAGACCUUGGUCCCAAUUAUCAAUUUAGUGAUGGAAGCAGACGUAGAUGAUAACUGUCAUAAAAGAGAAUCUUCAUAUAAUUGUCUUUUUUUUUCUUCAUUUAUACAGCUGGUAGGUACGUCAAGCAACCACCAUAUUGGCAAGCUUAAGCUGCUUCUCCAGAGGCAGGUAAUCCUUCAAAGACACACAGGUACAAUGCAUCACUCUCAAUAAGAAUACAGCCAUGGAAUUCUCACUUUUAUCAAUGGGUUGCAUGUCAGGCGGCAUAUCCUCACACCGUGCGAUAUGUAUAGCCCAGUUGUAAAUGCGUUCUGUCGAUGCAAACAGAGAAGGAACGACAAAUUCCGCAACUCCUCCCCAACUAGAGUCUGAGAGGAGAGAGGAAAGGGUGACUGGUAAAUCGCUCAGCACAGUAAGUUGGUCCAGAAUCAGAAGAGGCAUGUAUUUGCUCCAGCUACCAGAUAGCAACCCAAGAAAUUGCAAUGCCUGUAGGAGAAUAAGGUUAAUUUUUAAUAGAGAAAAGACACAGAAAUUCGAGCUGGCAAACAAGGAAAAUGGUUAAUAAUUCGCAUGAAUUUCAUUAGAAUUUCAAGGAAGGCAACAUCCCUCUAGUAGGGGUAUGCCAUUCACUCUACAAAACGUGUUAUCACCUACCAUGGAAGGAUAGCUAGAUACACAGCUAAUUUCAACUGCAUCAACAAGCCACUGUCUUUUGACACUUCCGUCUGCAUGUUGCAAAGCUGCUACAACGUCAACGAGCGCAUCCCACAUACCUGCAAAUAUGUAAAGUUCAAAGGCACCAGCAGCAUUGAAAUCCAACAACCAACUUUUCUGAGCCUUCCUAAAGCAUCUAACUGCCUCAGACCAUUCCUCUACAGUACGCAACUGACCUACUCCUCCAAUGGCAGGCAAUUGCAUUGCAG